AUACAUGCAAGUCGAACGCGUCUUGGUUAUUGAUGUUAGAUGCUUGCAUUUAACUGAUUUAACAUUGAGACGAGUGGCGAACUGGUGAGUAACACGUGGGUAACCUGCCCUUGAAGUAGGGGAUAACACUUGGAAACAGGUGCUAAUACCGUAUAACAACCAAAACCACCUGGUUUUGGUUUAAAAGAUGGCUUCGGCUAUCACUUUAGGAUGGACCCGCGGCGUAUUAGCUUGUUGGUAAGGUAACGGCCUACCAAGGCAAUGAUACGUAGCCGACCUGAGAGGGUAAUCGGCCACAUUGGGACUGAGACACGGCCCAAACUCCUACGGGAGGCAGCAGUAGGGAAUCUUCCACAAUGGACGAAAGUCUGAUGGAGCAACGCCGCGUGAGUGAUGAAGGGUUUCGGCUCGUAAAACUCUGUUGUUGGAGAAGAACAGGUGUGAGAGUAACUGUUCACAUCUUGACGGUAUCCAACCAGAAAGCCACGGCUAACUACGUGCCAGCAGCCGCGGUAAUACGUAGGUGGCAAGCGUUGUCCGGAUUUAUUGGGCGUAAAGCGAGCGCAGGCGGUUUCUUAGGUCUGAUGUGAAAGCCUUCGGCUUAACCGGAGAAGUGCAUCGGAAACCAGGAGACUUGAGUGCAGAAGAGGACAGUGGAACUCCAUGUGUAGCGGUGAAAUGCGUAGAUAUAUGGAAGAACACCAGUGGCGAAGGCGGCUGUCUGGUCUGUAACUGACGCUGA
rnacentral:rRNA from 1 species